rnacentral:miRNA from 1 species
UAUAUUAUGUGUGUGCAUGUGCAUGUGUGCACAUGCAUGCACAUAUGUACUAUUGUCUAUAAACAUAUAUUGUCAUUUCACUGCAUAGA